UACGUAGGGUGCAAGCGUUGUCCGGAAUUAUUGGGCGUAAAGAGCUCGUAGGCGGUCUGUCGCGUCGAUCGUGAAAACUUGGGGCUUAACCCUGAGCUUGCGGUCGAUACGGGCAUGACUGGAGUUCGGCAGGGGAGACUGGAAUUCCUGGUGUAGCGGUGAAAUGUGCAGAUAUCAGGAGGAACACCGGUGGCGAAGGCGGGUCUCUGGGCCGAUACUGACGCUGAGGAGCGAAAGCGUGGGGAGCGAACAGG
rnacentral:rRNA from 1 species